rnacentral:rRNA from 1 species
AUUGAACGCGUGGCGGCAUGCCUUACACAUGCAAGUCGAACGGCAGCGACGGGGGCAACCCUGGUGGCGAGUGGCGAACGGGUGAGUAAUACAUCGGAACGUGCCCGGUAGGUGGGGGAUAGCGUCGGCGAAAGCCGGAUUAAUACCGCAUACGACCUACGGGUGAAAGCGGGGAUCGCAAGACCUCGCGCCAUCGGAGCGGCCGAUGUCA